GACAAACGCUGGCGGCGUACCUAAGACAUGCAAGUCGAACGGGACUUUCCGCUUCGGCGGGGAGUCGAGUGGCGGACGGGUGAGUAACGCGUAGGAACCUGUCCUUGAGUGGGGGAUACCAGCCGGAAACGGGUGCUAAUACCGCAUGUGGUCAUCACGGGAGACUGUGGUGAAGAAAGGCGAAAGCCGCUCUGAGGAGGGGCCUGCGUCCGAUUAGCUAGUUGGAGUGGUAAGAGCACACCAAGGCGACGAUCGGUAGCUGGUCUGAGAGGAUGGU
rnacentral:rRNA from 1 species